UUGCAAACUCAGUUAUUAGCUCCACUUGAUGUUGCAGAAAGAAGGGGAACAGGAUUACUAAAGUAAACAUGACAAUAGAACAUUAUUAGCCUUAGAAAUCAAAUGAUUGGGGCUAUUGAUUUUAUACCACGAUAAGG
rfam:Colinus virginianus strain Texas jcf7180006227117, whole genome shotgun sequence.